UAUCAUUACAUGUUCAGAAUC
rnacentral:piRNA from 1 species